UCCUUUUAUUUUUAUUUUUAAAAAUACCGACAGUAGAACUCCCGACAGUAAAACUCCAACAAUUUUUUAAAUUUUAGUCCCGAAACUCCGCCACCUGGUGGACACAUCUGAAAGUGAAUUGGAGUGACGUGGAAUCGCCAUUGUAUUCCAAGACAUUGAGCCAGGAGCAGGACGCCGUUGUAUGUUGUAUGCUCAAUCUCUAACAUUUUGACGGAAAUAAAUAAGCUUCAGACAAAAUAGUAAAAUGUCAUCCAUUGCUACGUGUAACGGCUGUAUGUUUCAUCCCAUCCUUUGCUGAAAUACUUAAAGAAGAAGUUUCACAGCCAGGUGAGAGCUUCUGCAAUGCUGU